GCCUAUUCUCCUGAGGUUCUUCAUAUGUAAAAGGGGGAAAAUAACAGUAACUACCUCACAGGGUUGCUGUGAAGAAGAAACGAGUUGCUACAUAGAAAGCAAUUAGAAAAGUGCCUCCUUCCCAGAAGGUGGCCUGCUGUCAGUCAUGGUGGUGGCUACUACUAGACAUGCUUCACCUCCCUUGUUAGGCCAGAAGCUUCUUGCAGUCCCCUGGGCCUAUUAUAAUAUUUUGCGUGCAGUAAGUAGGUGGUCAUUAAAUGUUUUUUGGAUGAACAGAGGAAACAUAUAAUUUCUUGUAUUAUAAACAUUUCAAGUUAAAUAUAGAUAUUUGCUUAUGCUAAAACUUUUCUGAUCUUUUCAAUUAUAAAACACCCAGAAAACGGUUUUGUGUCUAAAUUUUUUUAUAUCAAUUUGCCUUCAUAAAUUGAUACCAAAUAAGGAUCUAUUUUAUGUCCCAUUAACAAUGGUUCUAGGCUAACUGUAAAAUUAUGCAAAUUGAGAAUUUGCAAAACUGUGACUAGAUGAGGGGGCG
rnacentral:lncRNA from 10 species